ACAUCCAAGGAAGGCAGCAGGCGCGCAAAUUACCCAAUCCCGACUCGGGGAGGUAGUGACAAUAAAUACUGAUACGAGGCUCUUUUGGGCCUUGUAAUUGGAAUGAGUACAAUUUAAAUCUCUUAACGAGGAACAAUUGGAGGGCAAGUCUGGUGCCAGCAGCCGCGGUAAUUCCAGCUCCAAUGGCGUAUAUUAAAGUUGUUGUGGUUAAAAAGCUCGUAGUUGAACCUUGGGCCUGGCUGGCCGGUCCGCCUCACCGCGUGUACUGGUCCGGCCGGGCCUUUCCCUCUGUGGAACCUCAUGCCCUUCACUGGGUGUGACGGGGAAGCAGGACUUUUACUGUGAAAAAAUUAGAGUGCUCCAAGCAGGCCUAUGCUCGAAUACAUUAGCAUGGAAUAAUAAAAUAGGACGUGCGGUUCUAUUUUGUUGGUUUCUUAGGACC
rnacentral:rRNA from 1 species